CCUCACUUGAGUUAAAAAACAAACCCCCCCCAAAAAAACAGCAGUCUCCCUUGAAGCUCAUGAGGCACCGUUGCAAAUUUUCCUAUUUUUGCUUGUGCGUUUUUUCAAUAAAACCAUUAGUUUCUUUGUUUGGCCUGCAUGGGUAUGUGUUAGUACUGACAUUCAACACGUAUUCAGCCCACAUUGGCCAUUUCACUAACAAGGGCGGGAUUCACAGUUCAGUCCGUAUUCUGAUAUGGCAAAUUUCACUAACAACGCAAAUUUAGCCUAUUUCAAUCGUACAAUGCAUUCCAUCCCUUUCCGAGCACUAGGCGGGCCUAGUCAAUCGUACUUUUUUUUUAGUUUUUUUUUUUUUUAAA